GUGGGGAAUCUUGCGCAAUGGGCGAAAGCCUGACGCAGCCAUGCCGCGUGAAUGAUGAAGGUCUUAGGAUUGUAAAAUUCUUUCACCGGGGACGAUAAUGACGGUACCCGGAGAAGAAGCUCCGGCUAACUUCGUGCCAGCAGCCGCGGUAAUACGAAGGGGGCUAGCGUUGCUCGGAAUUACUGGGCGGAAAGGGCGCGUAGGCGGACAGCUUAGUCAGAGGUGAAAGCCCAGGGCUCAGCCUUGGAAUUGCCGUUGAUACUGGCUGUCUUGAGUUUGGGAGAGGUGAGUGGAACUCCGAGUGUAGAGGUGAAAUUCGUAGAUAUUCGGAAGAACACCAGUGGCGAAGGCGACACACUGGCUCAUUACUGACGCUGAGGCGCGAAAGCGUGGGGAGCAAACAGGAUUAGAAACCCUUGUAGUCC
rnacentral:rRNA from 1 species